AUGGGGAGCUGCGCGUCCAAGGACGACAUGGCGGCGAGGCCGAGGAACGCGGCGGUGCACCCGUGCCCAUGGAUUACGCCGACGACGCUGCCGGCGCCCGGCCAGCGGGUCGCCGUGCGGAUGCGCGCCAGCGAGUUCCGCGCUCUGCAUGAAGCCACUGGUAGGGAUACCAGCGGCAGAGAUGCCGACGCCGGCGUCGGCCGUGCCAUCCUGGACGGCUGCGUCACCGGUCGGUGGACGUGGUCACCAGCGUCCGCGUCCUACUUUGCAGGCUAG
rnacentral:rRNA from 1 species